rnacentral:rRNA from 1 species
GUGGGGAAUAUUGGGCAAUGGGCGAAAGCCUGACCCAGCAACGCCGCGUGAAGGAAGAAGGUUUUCGGAUCGUAAACUUCUAUCCUUGGUGAAGAUAAUGACGGUAGCCAAGAAGGAAGCCCCGGCUAACUACGUGCCAGCAGCCGCGGUAAUACGUAGGGGGCAAGCGUUGUCCGGAAUGAUUGGGCGUAAAGGGCGCGUAGGCGGCCCGGUAAGUCUGAAGUGAAAGUCCUGCUUUUAAGGUGGGAAUUGCUUUGGAUACUGGCGGGCUUGAGUGCAGGAGAGGUAAGCGGAAUUCCCGGUGUAGCGGUGAAAUGCGUAGAGAUCGGGAGGAACACCAGUGGCGAAGGCGGCUUACUGGACUGUAACUGACGCUGAGGCGCGAAAGUGUGGGGAGCAAACAGGAUUAGAUACCCGGGUAGUCC